rnacentral:rRNA from 1 species
GACGAACGCUGGCGGCGCGCUUAACACAUGCAAGUCGAACGGAAAGGCCUGCUUUCCCUUGUGGAUUGCGGGUACUCGAGUGGCGAACGGGUGAGUAACACGUGAGUGAUCUGCCCCCAACUUGGGUAUAAGCCUGGGAAACUGGGUCUAAUUCCCGAUAGGACUGCAGGGUGGUGCCUGUGGUGGAAAACGAUUUUCUAGUGGUUGGGGAUAAGCUCGCGGCCUAUCAGCUUGUUGGUGGGGUAAUGGCCUACCAAGGCGGCGACGGGUAGCCGGCCUGAGAGGGUGGACGGCCACAUUGGGACUGAGAUACGGCCCAGACUCCUACGGGAGGCAGCAGUGGGGAAUAUUGCACAAUGGGCGGAAGCCUGAUGCAGCGACGCCGCGUGGGGGAUGACGGCCUUCGGGUUGUAAACUCCUUUCGACCGCGAGGAAGCCACCUGGUUGGAAGGGUGGUGACGGUAGUGGUAGAAGAAGCACCGGCUAACUACGUG